GGGUUGUGAGGUUAAGCGACUAAGCGUACACGGUGGAUGCCCUGGCAGUCAGAGGCGAUGAAGGACGUGCUAAUCUGCGAUAAGCGUCGGUAAGGUGAUAUGAACCGUUAUAACCGGCGAUUUCCGAAUGGGGAAACCCAGUGUGAUUCGUCACACUAUCAUUAACUGAAUCCAUAGGUUAAUGAGGCGAACCGGGGGAACUGAAACAUCUAAGUACCCCGAGGAAAAGAAAUCAACCGAGAUUCCCCCAGUAGCGGCGAGCGAACGGGGAGCAGCCCAGAGCCUGAAUCAGUGUGUGUGUUAGUGGAAGCGUCUGGAAAGGCGCGCGAUACAGGGUGACAGCCCCGUACACAAAAAUGCACAUACUGUGAGCUCGAUGAGUAGGGCGGGACACGUGGUAUCCUGUCUGAAUAUGGGGGGACCAUCCUCCAAGGCUAAAUACUCCUGACUGACCGAUAGUGAACCAGUACCGUGAGGGAAAGGCGAAAAGAACCCCGGCGAGGGGAGUGAAAAAGAACCUGAAACCGUGUACGUACAAGCAGUGGGAGCACGCUUAGGCGUGUGACUGCGUACCUUUUGUAUAAUGGGUCAGCGACUUAUAUUCUGUAGCAAGGUUAACCGAAUAGGGGAGCCGAAGGGAAACCGAGUCUUAACUGGGCGUUAAGUUGCAGGGUAUAGACCCGAAACCCGGUGAUCUAGCCAUGGGCAGGUUGAAGGUUGGGUAACACUAACUGGAGGACCGAACCGACUAAUGUUGAAAAAUUAGCGGAUGACUUGUGGCUGGGGGUGAAAGGCCAAUCAAACCGGGAGAUAGCUGGUUCUCCCCGAAAGCUAUUUAGGUAGCGCCUCGUGAAUUCAUCUCCGGGGGUAGAGCACUGUUUCGGCAAGGGGGUCAUCCCGACUUACCAACCCGAUGCAAACUGCGAAUACCGGAGAAUGUUAUCACGGGAGACACACGGCGGGUGCUAACGUCCGUCGUGAAGAGGGAAACAACCCAGACCGCCAGCUAAGGUCCCAAAGUCAUGGUUAAGUGGGAAACGAUGUGGGAAGGCCCAGACAGCCAGGAUGUUGGCUUAGAAGCAGCCAUCAUUUAAAGAAAGCGUAAUAGCUCACUGGUCGAGUCGGCCUGCGCGGAAGAUGUAACGGGGCUAAACCAUGCACCGAAGCUGCGGCAGCGACGCUGAUGCGUUGUUGGGUAGGGGAGCGUUCUGUAAGCCUGCGAAGGUGUGCUGUGAGGCAUGCUGGAGGUAUCAGAAGUGCGAAUGCUGACAUAAGUAACGAUAAAGCGGGUGAAAAGCCCGCUCGCCGGAAGACCAAGGGUUCCUGUCCAACGUUAAUCGGGGCAGGGUGAGUCGACCCCUAAGGCGAGGCCGAAAGGCGUAGUCGAUGGGAAACAGGUUAAUAUUCCUGUACUUGGUGUUACUGCGAAGGGGGGACGGAGAAGGCUAUGUUGGCCGGGCGACGGUUGUCCCGGUUUAAGCGUGUAGGCUGGUUUUCCAGGCAAAUCCGGAAAAUCAAGGCUGAGGCGUGAUGACGAGGCACUACGGUGCUGAAGCAACAAAUGCCCUGCUUCCAGGAAAAGCCUCUAAGCAUCAGGUAACAUCAAAUCGUACCCCAAACCGACACAGGUGGUCAGGUAGAGAAUACCAAGGCGCUUGAGAGAACUCGGGUGAAGGAACUAGGCAAAAUGGUGCCGUAACUUCGGGAGAAGGCACGCUGAUAUGUAGGUGAAGUGAUUUACUCAUGGAGCUGAAAUCAGUCGAAGAUACCAGCUGGCUGCAACUGUUUAUUAAAAACACAGCACUGUGCAAACACGAAAGUGGACGUAUACGGUGUGACGCCUGCCCGGUGCCGGAAGGUUAAUUGAUGGGGUCAGCGCAAGCGAAGCUCUUGAUCGAAGCCCCGGUAAACGGCGGCCGUAACUAUAACGGUCCUAAGGUAGCGAAAUUCCUUGUCGGGUAAGUUCCGACCUGCACGAAUGGCGUAAUGAUGGCCAGGCUGUCUCCACCCGAGACUCAGUGAAAUUGAACUCGCUGUGAAGAUGCAGUGUACCCGCGGCAAGACGGAAAGACCCCGUGAACCUUUACUAUAGCUUGACACUGAACAUUGAGCCUUGAUGUGUAGGAUAGGUGGGAGGCUUUGAAGUGUGGACGCCAGUCUGCAUGGAGCCGACCUUGAAAUACCACCCUUUAAUGUUUGAUGUUCUAACGUGGACCCGUAAUCCGGGUUGCGGACAGUGUCUGGUGGGUAGUUUGACUGGGGCGGUCUCCUCCUAAAGAGUAACGGAGGAGCACGAAGGUUGGCUAAUCCUGGUCGGACAUCAGGAGGUUAGUGCAAUGGCAUAAGCCAGCUUGACUGCGAGCGUGACGGCGCGAGCAGGUGCGAAAGCAGGUCAUAGUGAUCCGGUGGUUCUGAAUGGAAGGGCCAUCGCUCAACGGAUAAAAGGUACUCCGGGGAUAACAGGCUGAUACCGCCCAAGAGUUCAUAUCGACGGCGGUGUUUGGCACCUCGAUGUCGGCUCAUCACAUCCUGGGGCUGAAGUAGGUCCCAAGGGUAUGGCUGUUCGCCAUUUAAAGUGGUACGCGAGCUGGGUUUAGAACGUCGUGAGACAGUUCGGUCCCUAUCUGCCGUGGGCGCUGGAGAACUGAGGGGGGCUGCUCCUAGUACGAGAGGACCGGAGUGGACGCAUCACUGGUGUUCGGGUUGUCAUGCCAAUGGCACUGCCCGGUAGCUAAAUGCGGAAGAGAUAAGUGCUGAAAGCAUCUAAGCACGAAACUUGCCCCGAGAUGAGUUCUCCCUGACUCCUUGAGAGUCCUGAAGGAACGUUGAAGACGACGACGUUGAUAGGCCGGGUGUGUAAGCGCAGCGAUGCGUUGAGCUAACCGGUACUAAUGAACCGUGAGGCUUAACCUUACAACGCCGAAG
rnacentral:rRNA from 1 species